CCGAGUUUACAACUCAUCAAACCCUGUGAACAUACCUACGUUGCUUCGGCGGACACCAACCCCUCGGGACGACGGGCCGCCCCGCCAGAGGACCCCUAAACCAAUCUGUUUUUUAGUAAUGAACUAUUCCUGAGUGAACUAUCAAAUAAAUUA
rnacentral:misc_RNA from 1 species